UUCUAGAAAGUGAAAUUAGAUAAAAAUAAAGUAUGACUAUAUAAGUGAUUUCAUAGCCCAAUCCCACCAAGAUAAAGUAGAGUGAAUGUUUCUCAAAGCACUCGACUCAAAAUAAAAAACAAUAUAAAAAAUUCAAACCCACGGAGUGCGGUUCAAAUUCUAAAUUUGAAAAUACUACCAGAAAUAAAGAAAUCAAGAAUACAAGAAUGCCGCGCGGCUUUCUUCUUCAGUAGUUCCUCCUCACCCAUCGGGAAAAAUGGAAAAUGGAGAAGAAGAAAUCACGGAGGAGCAAAGAAAUCGAGCGGAAGCCAAUCGUCUUGCGGCAUUAGCAAAGCGCAAACACCGAAAUUCCGAACCCAAUAACAACAACAACAACAACAACUCAUGGAAGCUUUUCAAAUGCAGAAAGCUUUCAGGUAAUGUUGAUUUCCAUAAGCCUCCUCCUAUCAACCCACCUCCCAAACCCUUCAAACCUACUCCUCAACAACAAAGAUUUAAGGCCAGGCUUGAAAUUUGCUCCCCGGACUCAUUCUCCGUCAUUCCUGUGCCACUGCAAGGGUUUACUUAUCCCGGUGAAAAGAAUUGUAUGGAGAUACUCAGAGAUUGCCUUUCUUGUGUGGUACUGUUGCAUUGCACUCAAACGACCUGUGGGGGAAAGGCUUGUGUCUAUCAACUUAGAGACUAUGAAGCAGUUCUGAGGUCUCUAAAGAACUCUAAAAGCAUUGAAUGUGAAGAGAUCCCUUGGGGAACGCUCAAUGUAGUCGAGAGACUAUCUAAUUCCUCAGCCGCAGGUCGGUGGAUACCUUGUAGGCCGGAGCAUCUUCCUGAUGAGAAGGUUGAUGAGUUGAUCAGUAAACUUCCUAAAAGAUUGUUGGAUACACUUCAUCCUUUUCAGCUUGAGGGUGUUCGAUUUGGAUUGAGAAGGGGUGGUCGAUGUCUCAUUGCAGAUGAAAUGGGACUAGGGAAAACUCUCCAGGCUAUCACUAUUGCAAGUUUUUUCAUGAAUGAAGGCCCUAUGCUCAUUGUCUGCCCAGCUAUUUUGAGAUAUCCAUGGGCUGAAGAACUGGAGCGCUGGCUUCCUUGUUUACCUUCUGAUAUUCAUCUGGUCUUUGGUCACCAAGAUAAUCCUGCACGUUUACCUAAAUGUCCAAGAGUUGUGGUGACAUCAUAUACAAUGCUUCGUCGUUUGAGGAAGAGCAUGUUGGAACAAGAAUGGGCCACUUUGGUUGUGGAUGAAUCACAUAAUUUGCGUUGCACAAAGAAAACAAGUGAAAAUGAAGAGAUAACAACUGUACUUGAUGUUGCGACUAAGGCCAAGCAUUUAAUUCUAUUAUCAGGGACUCCAUCUUUGUCAAGACCAUAUGACAUCUUUCAUCAGAUAAAUAUCUUAUGGCCCGGGUUACUUGGAAAGACUAAAUAUGACUUCGCAAAGACUUACUGCAAUGUUAGACUUGUUCAUGGCUGCCAAGGGAAGGUUUUCCAGGAUUUCUCGAAGGGGGUUCGCUUGGAGGAGUUAAAUGUGUUACUGAAGCAAACUGUUAUGAUACGUCGUUUGAAGGAGCAUGUGCUUUUGCAGUUACCCCCCUUGCGACGCCAAAUUAUAGGUUUGACUUUAAAGAAAUCAGAUAUGCGUCAGGCGGUGGCUACCAUAGACUUGUUGAAAGGCAGAAGAUCUGGGAACAGUGGUGCUAAAGAGGCUGAAGGUGUAACCAAUGAUGAUUCACGUGCUAAAGAUGUUGCGAAAGCUUUUGAGAAUUUAAAGUUUGUUGCUGAAGAUGUGCCAGUGGAAAGUCCUGAAAGAGUUGAUGAUGAUACGGCCUGUUCCGGAGCUUUAAGAGAGCUCUAUGACGAAGCGCUUGGCAUUGCAAAGUUGCCAGGAUUCUAUGAGUGGCUCUCUGUACAUCCAAUCAUUACAGAAUUGGAUGGUGAAGAAAUGAUGGAAGCAAGCCACAGUUGUCAUAAAAUGAUAAUAUUUGCUCAUCACCAUAUAGUUCUUGAUGGUGUACAGGAGUUUCUUUGUCAGAAAGCUAUUGAUUAUAUUCGUAUUGAUGCAAAUGCAUUACCCAGUGACAGACAGUUGGCUAUUCAAUCAUUCCAAUCGGCGAAUGAGGUCAAGAUUGCGCUUGUUGGAAUACUCUCAGGGGGCUCUGGACUUAACUUAACGUCAGCGCAACAUGUCGUGUUCUUGGAGUUGCCAACGAAACCAGCUCACAUGCAACAGGCCGAAUGUAGAGCUCAUAGACAAGGGCAAACAAAGGGAGUAAAUGUAUAUAUUUUCAUUGGAAAGGAUACUUCAGAUGAGAUUCGGUGGCAAAAACUUAAUACAAGUUUGCGUCAAGUUUCAUCUACAAUGGAUGGGAAGUAUGAUGCUUUGCAGGCAAUAGAGGUUAGUGAUGUUUCUUGCCUUGAGGAAUUGGAUGUCGGAGAAAAGAAGAGUGAUCAUUUAACUGAGAAUGCAGAAAAUGGUGAAGUUGCUGGAGAAGAACCAACUGUAACUGAAGUUCAAGGCAUUCAUCUAGAUUUAGAUCCUUUUGAAGCUCAUUGUGAUACAUACAGGAUUGAUGACAAACAGGAUGGAACUAGCUCAUUCUUAUCGAAAUCAGACCUCCGUUAUACGGAAAAAGGUGCAUCCCCUGAAUCAGAAGUAAAUAGCAACAUACUCGUAACCAGCAGUUCUAUAGAAUCACUCCGUUUUGAGGUCAGCCAAUAUACAGGAAGGAUUCACCUGUACUCUUGUAUUCCUGGAGUUGAUUCCAGGCCAAGGCCACUUUUUAAGAAUUUCCGGCCAGAGGAAGUUGCUCUAGAACUGCUCCCUCUCAAGGAAGUUGAGAAAACAGCUUGUAAUAAUAUCAACGAUGAUAUGAGUUGUCGGUAUGCUCUAGUGGAGUUCCUUAAAGAAUGGCACAAGUUGAAUGCAAUUGAACGAAGGAAACUGAUUGGAAAGGCCUUGCAACUUCCAUUAUGCGUUGAGUUAUCCUAUUUAAGUGAAAACCUUAACCACGAUAAUGGGGGACUGCUGAAAGGUAGAAGUAAGAGGAGGACUACACCGUUGCACGAAAUUACCUACCCCUUACCACCAAAUGCUGUUUGGAGGAAGGUCCAUCUUUGUAAUGGGAAAGGGAAACAAGAGAAAAUGUACAUGCAGGGGUGGUCCGACAAGGAUGAACCACUCUGCAAGCUCUGUCAAACUCCUUGCAAGAAUAGCAAUGCUAAAACUCCUGACUACUUUGAGGAUCUCUUCUGUAGCUUGAACUGCUGCGAGGAGUAUCACCUUAGAACUAAUAAUAGAUCAAUCCGUAAUGCGCUUUUCAAAAUUGAGCGUGGCAUUUGCACAAACUGCCAACUAGACUGCCACAAAAUUGUGGAGCGCAUCAGAGCAUUGUCUUUUGAGAGUCGUGAAGAGUAUAUCAUCAAAGUAGCACCAAAUUUGGCUAAGCGUAAGAAAUUAUUUCAAAAGCUUGUUCAGGACCCUAUUGAAGGCAAUGCAUGGCAUGCGGAUCACAUUAUACCUGUGUAUAAAGGGGGAGGUGAAUGUAGGCUAGAGAACAUGAGGACUUUAUGUGUUGCUUGUCAUGCUGAUGUCACUGCUACACAACAUUCAGAGCGGCAUUUGACUAGACUUGUGGCAAAGAAGAAACUCAAAGCUGUCAUGAGCAACCUCAAAACUAUCCAUAAACCCAAGCAGAAUGUGGAUGAACCAGAGGGUUCACGGCAUUCUAAAGUUGAAGAGAAUAAAGAUGAGGAUGAACUACUAGUGAAUGUUCCAGGAAGUGCAUAUUCUAUUCGCACUGCUAGUCAGGAACGAGGAAAUUCAGAACCGAAAACUAGCGACAGUGAUGUCUUGGGUGAGCCGGGUUGCCGCCCACUGCACAGAGCUUACCUCAGUCAUGAGAACUAACUGAAAAAGUUUUGGAAUGUAACGAGAUUUGGUUAACCAUUGUGUUUUAGGGCGCAUUUGGGAAAAUAUCCAGGCUACUUUGUGUCAAGUUUUUAUAUAUUCAACUUCUUUUAGGAAAGAGUUGAGUGACUAGUUCCUUCACAUCGUGCUUCAAUGCAAAGGUAGACUAUCCUCCAGUUGGCAGAUGACGAUGAUCAGAGAUACUCCCACCAGCCAUUACUGUGUUUAUAUGUAGGAAGUUCUGGCUGUAGGAAAGACGACGAAGUUGCUUUUAAACUGCCACAUAAGUAUUAUAAGCUUUGAUGGGCAAGUUCUUUUUUAGCAGUAGUAUCUCACCGUAGAGAGGAUUACAGUGUCAUAUACCAUACUUAUUUGGCAUUAAGCACUCAAAAGAAUGGAUACACCUAAAAGCUAUACAGUAAGUGAGUUCAUAGUC